UACAGAGGUCUCAAGCGUUGUUCGGAUUCAUUGGGCGUAAAGGGUGCGUAGGUGGCGUCGUAAGUCGGGUGUGAAAUUUCGGAGCUUAACUCCGAAACUGCAUUCGAUACUGCGGUGCUUGAGGACUGGAGAGGAGACUGGAAUUUACGGUGUAGCAGUGAAAUGCGUAGAGAUCGUAAGGAAGACCAGUGGCGAAGGCGGGUCUCUGGGCCGAUACUGACGCUGAGGAGCGAAAGCAUGGGUAGCGAACAGG
rnacentral:rRNA from 1 species